rnacentral:rRNA from 1 species
GACGAACGCUGGCGGCGUGCUUAACACAUGCAAGUCGAACGAAGUGGCGAACGGGUGAGUAACGCGUAAUCAACCUGCCAUUCAGUGGGGGACAACAGUUGGAAACGCCUGCUAAUACUGCGUACCGAAGGAGGGGGUUGCGUCUGAUUAGCUAGUUGGAGGGGUAACGGCCCACCAAGGCGAUGAUCAGUAGCCGGUCUGAGAGGAUGAACGGCCCCAUGGGGACUGAGACACGGCCCAGACCUCUACGGGAGGCAGCAGGUGGGAUUCUUCCGCAAUGGACGAAAGUCUGACUGCGCAACGCCGCGUGAGUGAUGACGGCCUUCGGGUUUGAAAGCUCUGUUAAUCGGGACGCGGUACCGGAAUAGAAAGCCACGGCUAACUACGUGCCAGCAGCCGCGGUAAUAC